AGGGGUACAACUCAGCGGUAGAGUGUCACCUUGAUGUGGUGGUGGAAGUCAUCAGUUCGAGCCUGAUUAUCCCUA